AUCACUAAGCGGAGGAAAAGA
rnacentral:rRNA from 1 species